rnacentral:rRNA from 1 species
UACAGAGGUCCCGAGCGUUGUUCGGAAUCACUGGGCGUAAAGCGCACGUAGGCGGAUAUGUCAGUCAGGGGUGAAAUCCCGGGGCUCAACCUCGGAACUGCCCUUGAUACAGCAUGUCUUGAGUCCGAUAGAGGUGGGUGGAAUUCCUAGUGUAGAGGUGAAAUUCGUAGAUAUUAGGAAGAACACCGGUGGCGAAGGCGGCCCACUGGAUCGGUACUGACGCUGAGGUGCGAAAGCGUGGGGAGCAAACAGG